ACUGUGGUAGGGUCUUGUGUGAGAUACCAUUGAACUCAGCAGGGUGUUACCUUUUUAUUGGUGAGGAUUUGCGGUGUCUGAGUGCAGCGCAAAUGCACGGUCGCAAGGAGCAGCAUCCGCCAGUAACACCGACGUGCGCAGAGGCGCGAGGACCCGUCCAACGCUGCUUGCAGCUUUAAUUCCAUAAUAUUUUCUUUAAAAC